rnacentral:rRNA from 1 species
UACGGGGGGAGCAAGCGUUGUUCGGAUUUACUGGGCGUAAAGGGCGCGUAGGCGGCGCAACAAGUCACUUGUGAAAUCUCCGGGCUUAACCCGGAGCGGCCAAGUGAUACUGUCGUGCUAGAGUGCGGAAGGGGCUACUGGAAUUCUCGGUGUAGCGGUGAAAUGCGUAGAUAUCUGGAGGAACACCGGUGGCGAAGGCGGCAUCCUGGACCGGCAUUGACGCUGAAUAGCGAAAGCCAGGGGAGCAAACGGG